rnacentral:rRNA from 1 species
AGUGGCGAACGGGUGAGUAACACGUGACUAACCUGCUGCGAGUGGGGGAUAACUCGCCGAAAGGCGAGCUAAUACCGCAUAACACCCCCGGGAUGCAAUGCCUGGAGGUCAAAGGCGCAAGACGCUCGCAAAGGGGGUCGCGGCUGAUUAGCUAGUUGGCGGGGUAAUGGCCCACCAAGGCGAUGAUCAGUAGCCGGCCUGAGAGGGCGCACGGCCACACUGGAACUGAAACACGGUCCAAACUCCUACGGGAGGCAGCAGUGGGGAAUUUUGCGCAAUGGGGGAAACCCUGACGCACCAACGCCGCGUGGAAAAUGAAGCCCCUUGGGGCGUAACUCCUUUCGAUCGGGACGAUGAUGACGGUACCGGAAAAAAAAGCACCGGCUAACUCUGUGCCAGCAGCCGCGGUAAUACAAAGGGUGCAAGCGUUGUUCGGAAUUAUUGGGCGUAAAGGGCGCGUAGGCGGUGCGGUAAGUCUUCUGUGAAAUCUCCGGGCUCAACUCGGAGCCUGCAGGGGA